CGAAAGCCUGACGGAGCAAUACCGCGUGAGGGAUGAAUGCCUAUGGGUUGUAAACCUCUUUUUUCAGGGAGGAAUCAAUGACGUUACCUGAAGAAUAAGCAUCGGCUAACUCCGUGCCAGCAGCCGCGGUAAGACGGAGGAUGCAAGUGUUAUCCGGAAUCACUGGGCGUAAAGCGUCUGUAGGUGGUUUGAUAAGUCAACUGUUAAAUCUUGAGGCUCAACCUCAAAACCGCAGUCGAAACUAUUAGACUAGAGUAUAGUAGGGGUAAAGGGAAUUUCCAGUGGAGCGGUGAAAUGCGUAGAGAUUGGAAAGAACACCGAUGGCGAAGGCACUUUACUGGGCUAUUACUAACACUGAGAGACGAAAGCUAGGGUAGCA
rnacentral:rRNA from 1 species